CAGGCAUUCAGUCCGCUGCGGGUAUUGUUGCGUUGGGAGUUGGGAAGAAUGAACGAUGAAGACACCUUGCGCAUUGCGGAAAAGGUGUUUGAAGGACUUGAGACUACUACAACUACCUGAAACACAUUCAUCAUGUGAGCGCGACCGUGCGAAGCUUUGAUGCGAGGCAUGUGUGUGGAGAAUAUUGCGUGGGAGACAAUUUACUCUUCGAUUGGGAUGUGGGAAAAAGGAUUGCAGCGGAAUGAAAUGACAAAUUGGUUACCGAUUGAUUGACAGCUAGCCGUUAAAGCUGAUUUCACGUACAACCGCCCGUGACUGUGGCAAAUUAACAAGUAUAUUAUGCAGUUGUGUUUUAGAAUUAAAUGAUCAGACAUGACAGAAAAUUUUCAUUUGGGAAAACGUCAAUCAAAAUCAUCAGUGAAAUUUAAACUCUUGAAAUUUUCACAGAAUAGAGUUGUGCGUUUGCGUACAGAUGCAAAUCGUAGGCGUAAUAUUAUCAAGUGUUGGAGUCAUUUGUCGUCGGCGAUAACGGACGUCCAAAAACACGAUCCAUGCAACGAUGUGCAGAGGGAGUGGUCCCCAGAUAAGAAAGAUGUGCUACCCAAACGAAACGUAGUGAACUAUCUUAAAUCGAUUUUUAAGUUAAACAAAAGACAUUAUUAUACCCAAUCAUCAUGGUACUACAUUUUCCAAUUUGCUUCGGAAACUAUAACUAUGAUUAAAUUUCCACACAAACUUUCACCCCC